AUUUUAAUAGUCUAUAGUCAUCCUACCAUGAUUUCAAACUAUUAAAACCCUAAAAAUGCACACUUUAAUAAUUUAGAACGCUAAUUUCAAUAAAAUUAUAGAAUCUGGAAAUUAACAACUUAAUUAUAAAACAUACACUACUACAAAUCGCGUCAUAUCUCGACGCUAUACCCUCGACGAUGUGAUUAACCGCUGCUGUGGAAAUAUGCUCCGCGUGAUUUCUCGACGCGUUUCAUCGUCCAACUACACUCUCGACUAACAACAGCGUCGAGAAAGUAGUAAAAUGUCACAUGCCCCGCACAUGCUUAACUUAAUAGCAAACCGCGCCCACGAACUUCAAACUUUUGGGAAAAGGAAAACCGCCUCCUUCUCUAAACCUAAUCCUCAAUUCAGUUCUCACUCGCCGCUUUCUAGCUCUAAUCCCUUCACAUGGAACUUCAAAGAUCUAGUUUCGUUGAAUUUGUCUUCUAAUUUCUUGUAAUCUUUGUGUUGUUUAGGUGUUUUUGUGUAAUGGAAUCUAGCAUUGUCAGUUGGUGAAGAUGGAGAAGAGGCGGCGUUGGUCGGCCCUUUCCUCAUUGAAGCUCUUCAAAAUUCAAAACCCUCGUCAUCGUCUAACCACCAGCGACAAUCAAUCAGCAAUUCAGCAAACAUCCUAAAGAGAGAGAAAACGAGAGCGAGACGAACUCGAGGAGAAGACUUGGAAAUCUCCAUUUGAACAGCAGAAGGCGGAGAGCUGAAGUUCUUGACAAGCCCCAAUCUAGUACCAGCGACGGAGCUGGAAGCUGAAUGAGGAGAGUGAAAGCGGAAGUCCAGAGAUUUCGAGGUAGAAGAUGAAGAAGAGUGAUUUAUGGAUUAUUGGGUAUUGUUAAUUAGAUUUGCUUUGUUAUUAAGGGACGAUGGAAAUGGAUGUGUUGCUACCAUUGGUGUGACAUCCGAUUCAUUGUGUUCAUCUCCGAGACUGAAAAAUGAGAUGAUAGCCUUUUUCCUUGUGCAUGCUUUAAGAUUCUAACAUUCGUGCUCAAUCAAUUUGGAAGCCAUGAACCUCGCUCAAUUCGUGAGAUUAAGAAUUUUGCGUGUACAAGAUUCAAAGCUGAGUACCCCAUUUUGAUAAGGUACGUGGACUACAAGAUUCAAAGCUGAGUACCCCAUUUUGAUAAGGUACGUGGACGUGAAUGGUCCAAAUACAGUACCAGUGUACAGUUCCUCAAGUCCAGUGUGGUGCGUUUUUGGGUGACUUGGUCAAGUGGAAUUACGAUAAGUUAUUGGUGGACAAAAAGGGCAAGGUUGUAGAGAGAUACACACCUACAACAUCCCCUCUCCAGAUUAAGGUCCUUGAUGCAUUUGAAGAUUGUAGUGGUGGAAAAUUGGAACCAAGGGAUGAUGCGUAGCUCCUUCAACUAUGAAGCCCAUGUUCUUGAAUUUAUAGGCUUUUAAUGGCCUUUGUUUUGAAGAUGACAUUUAGAAUAAUAGGUUUAUUGGAAUUAUAAUAUAUAGUACGUUGGGAUUUUAAAAGUAAUCGUGAUGUUUUGGAGAUACUUACUAUUAAGUAUAUAGUUUGGAUAUAUAAUGUGUUAACUUAAAUUCGAUAUGUUUUG